AAGGUGGGGAUGACGUCAAGUCCUCAUGGCCCUUAUAGUGGGGCUACACACGUCAUACAAUGGCCGGUACAGAGGGUAGCCAACCCGCGAGGGGGAGCCAAUCCCACAAAGCCGGUCGUAGUCCGGAUCGCAGUCUGCAACUCGACUGCGUGAAGUCGGAAUCGCUAGUAAUCGCGGAUCAGCAUGUCGCGGUGAAUACGUUCCCGGGUCUU
rnacentral:rRNA from 1 species